ensembl:lncRNA
CCCUGAUCAGGUAAUUGGUCAGUGUGCGCAAGGGGGCUAACACAGGUGGCUAACAUCACAGUUGCAGAAGGCAACAAAUGGUGCACCGUGUGAGGAACGCUGUGUUUUGAUGUCCUCUGCACGACCAAGAGCUUUGGGGGGAUGCCACAGCCCGAGUACCCUACGGUGAGGGGGAGCCUGUAGGCGACUGGGGUGACGCCCUGCAGAAGAUCGUGGUGUCGACGAUAGUGCCGGCCGGCAAGUAGAACCUGUGUUGCAGUGGGGUCAGGGGGGGACAACAGGACGUCCACGGAGACCCAUGCUGACGGCGGUGUUGAUUGUGAAUUCGAGGUGACGGCGACGGGCUGACCAUGGAACAUGUUCUUAAGGGGCCAAGAGGAGACAGAGCCACCAAUGACGGUUGGCAAGUAGGCGCCGGCUGAGCCAGCUGCGCUCAGUUCAAAAGAAGACAAACAACAAGAGAGUGGAUGUUCAUUGUCUCAUCCCCCGCCCCUUUAUCCGGUCCCCUCAGGCAAAACACUGUAUCCUUUACCUGAACUGCAUCAGUGUCCCCUGACUCAAGGGGGCGGAGGGAGCUGUGAUCCACACGAGCAGGAUCAACUUACUGCCCACAAGAGGAGGGACCAGACGAAAAGUCUGUCCAAUGCGUACAGGGGGUGUAGCCUACCGUCUCUGGUCGCUUCCAGGGGCGGUAGUGUAAGUGAUAGUGUAGAGGAGGAAGAAGGGACUGGCUUUGAGUGGAGUGGGAGGGAUCAAAUGACAGACUGGAAUCGGAUUAGAUAGGAGGCUGAGGUGAAGGGUAUAGUUCCAGAGGCAUUCCUGGUGAUUAUGAGUGAUCGUGGUCCCGAAUGGGUGCUGCCUGACCCCGGGGGUGUUACGCGCCUGAUGGAAUUUAUGGAUAAAAGAGGCCUGAAAUCGCCUCUGACGUUAAAUGCACUACAGGCUUUGACUGCACCGGGGCCUCUCCUCCCCCACGACAUCACAAACCUAGUGUAUAUGGUGCUCAAGCCAGUCCAAUAUAUGUUAUGGGAGACGGACUGGAUGGCCAAGUUGGGGGGGCAUGCCGGGGCGGCGGAGGCCGGCCCAGGCCGCCCCCUGUGUGGGUCCAGCGUCCAGUGGCUUUCAGGGAGGGCCAUGGGAGUGGCUUUGCCCCAGGGCCAGCUAGCAAAACUAAGGCCAGGGGAGCUAAUAGUGGCCACACAUGCAAUGGUGGAAGCGUUUAAUAAACUCGCGCAUAAGGCUGAACCACCUGCUCUGUGGACAGAUAUUACCCAGGGCCCGAAUGAAUCUUUUCAAAGCUUUGCAGACAGGCAAUAGUCACAGCUAUUGGCCCGCAACAGCAUUGAUCACUGCAGCAGCAAGGGCUGUGUUUCCGAUACGGCCAGUAUGGCCAUGUUAGAGCACAAUGCCCCUCUGGGGGAGGCCAGACAGGGCCUCCUGAUUGCAGGAAGGGCUUGCUAAAGGGUAUCCGUUGUCGGGUAUGCAGCAGUUAAACAUCAUGAAUCUGGGAAAAUUUUGUGGGUACCAUCGCAAAAAGUAAAACCAGAUGUAAGCAACAUAUCUGCAAAAACUGAGUCUAGGUGCGAGUUUUUCUACAGAAAUUCUUCAUUGGCAAACCGAGGGACGGACGACGGGAUCAAGAACCACUCAUCAAGAGGAGCACUACACCUGCAAUGCUGACACUUCUGAUGUUGCUGAUGUUUAUGGUGUCCCUGGCAAUCACAGCAUGUCAGAAACAACUGCAAUGGAUGCAAGAACGUACGUAGAAGAUUAAAGAAGAGAGUGAUCCCUUUGGGAGCUGGCUGGAUGGACUGUUUGGGGGAGUGGGUUCAUGGUUAAAGCAAUUGCUUAAGGUUUUCGCGAUAGGGCUUGCAAUCUUUGUAUGUAUUCUGAUCUGUCUUCCAUGCUUUGUAGGAUGCUUGCAGAACUCCUUGCAACAAAUGAUGGAAAUGACUUUUGACCAUUGGAUUGAAUAUCAAAGACUGGGUGAAAGGUUGUAGAAGGGUGUAGGUUGUUGCGUUUAUGCUGUUAACGGGGCCAGGCUUGGCCGAGCACGGGAAAGGACUCCCUGUUGCUCUGAUGUUUGCUUAAAGGAUUGCAGUAGAAGGGUAGUAGAAAUAGUAUGCUGAAAUGUAUUUAGGAUUAAGUACUUCGCGAUGUAUGGGUUAGGCGCGUGUGAAGAACAAUUAGCUUAGGGAGGGGGAGAUGUUGUAGUAGGCGCUUGACAGGGAUACAUGCUGUACAGCAUAGGUCUCUCCCUAAGCACGGUGAAAGGGUGCUGUUGUGCUCAGACAGACUGUCCUUGCUAAUGAAGGAAACAAGAUAAGAAGGCGAAGGAAUGAGGAGACAAUAGGAGCCAAAUAAGGAAUUGUGGUAAGGGGCUAAGAUCCAGUAUGGACAAAUCAGGACAGGGCACGAUAGCUCAAGUAAAGUAUAUAAGCUGUGUGUAUUAGUGAACAAAUGCCAUUUUACUGCUCAUCGUAUUGGUGUGUUUUUGCAGUCACUUGGCCCUGACCAGGUAGUUGGCCAGUUCGUGCUAGGGCUAACACAGGAGGCUAACAUCACAGUUGCAGAAGGCAACACCUGAUCUACCACUUUUUCUAUAUAUACCACUUCUUUUUUUUGUUUGUUUGUUUGUUUCUUCUAAAUACAUACAUUCUAUCAAUUAUUCUUAUCUUUAUAAUAUCUGAUUUACUCAUUAGUUUGCACCUGUAAAUCACUCUUUUCCUGUUGCUUGAGCAAUACAAACCAAUAGAUGAAUAAGAACAACUUUGGCUCCCAGUUGCUUGUUAAAAUUUUCUCAUUAAUGAUUUUUUUUUCAUUCAUUGGUUAAAUUUUGACACCUUGACAAUUCAAAUGGAGUAAGGAGUACUAAUUAUUUUUGUUGUUACAUUAUUUUUUAAGAUGUUUCAUUCAUGCAUAACAUAAUUAAUCUUACAUGACUCAGGGGAAUGCUUUUCCACAAAGGGUGAAACAACACCAUCAUCCACAACAUUGAUUUAAUCUGUAAAUACUUAUGUAAGUAGCAAUUGAAUUAUUAAAAAAUAUAGUUGAUUAAUGA